AGUAGCUAAGUGGUAUAGCAGAGGACUAAAAAUCCUCGUGUCGUGGGUUCGAUUCCCACC
rnacentral:tRNA from 1 species